UAAGGAAACUAUCUUUGCAGAUGAAAUCUUGAAAUAUGGCCGGUCAUGCCAUGACAAUGUAAUAUUUUCCUUAAUCAUAUUAGAGCAUGUCCACCGUUCUGUUACCUGACAGUUGUUUAUCUAGCACAGGGGUAGUCUUUUUUGUUGUUAUCAUCUUUAAGAGUCUGUUCUGUUAGAUGACGUUUACCGAUAUUAUAAAUUUGCUUAACUGAGACUCUCAGCGUAUGUUGCACUUUUUUGGAUAUCUGGUCGGGAGUGUUGUCGAUAUGCAGAAAACUUUUUGCAGAUGCACAUCAUGAACUUGUGUCUUCCUUUUGUCAUUGCGUAUUUUGCCUCUGUUUCUUAUUCAGCAUCGUCGGUCAUAUUUUAAAUUGUAAGAUCACUCUCACUUGGAUAAUUGAACUUCUAUAAUUAAAUAAUCUGAUGCUCUCUCAUAAAAGUAUCAAGUGUUAUUUUCAUGAAACCAUGUCGUAUGAUUAUCUUUCAUGCAGUGAUAAGCUGGCUAUUCUGGCCUGUUUUGGUUCUAGAGUAACAUACAAGUUUUAACAUAGUCAUUGUCGUUUCCUGAUUGGAUUUGUAGCUGUAGAAGUUUAUGUUCUUCCUUGCAUGGUCUGCAUUUUUAGAGCUUCUACCGUCAAUUUCUUUUUGAACUUGUUUCUCCUAUAAAUAUUGAAAGACUACCCUCUCAACCAGGCCAUCUGAAAGGGGCAAAUCAAUCCGGUUGUGCCAUUAAUUUAUUUUUGCCUCACUUUUAAAUUUCCCUUAGAUAAUCUUACCAUUACUAUGAUAUUAAUAUUUCAUGUAAAUCAUGGUUCAUCAAGCAUAAUCAGUAGGUCUUUCCCAAGAUGUUCUAUUUUAUAUAUGCGUUUUUUUGCACAAAAGCAACUGCAUCUCUCUUGUGGCACUAAUGCAUGCCUAUCUUUUUAAAUUUCCCUAAAUAAUCGGUUAUUUAAAGAUGAAUCUCUCUUGUGGCACUAAUGCAUCUCUCUUGUGGCACAAAACCAGAAAUUUUCUUGUGAUUUUAAGAUUUUGUUACACAAAAGAUGAAUAUUUGCAAGCAUAGAUAUGCAUGUGAGUGAGCAAUUGAAAUGCCACUUGUAAACAGCUCUUGGUGACUAAAACUAUUUAUGUUGUUACUUACCAUGCAGAGAAUGCCCCAGGUGUGCUUACUGGUACCAUGAUAAGACAGAGUUGAGACAUAUGUAUAUACUUUGAAGGUCCAUCCUGGGCCGUGUUAAUUCAUAGUGAUGCCUUCUUCAUUGGAUUCCUCCCUUUAUAAAGCAACCCACGGAAAAUCCAUAUUAGGAAGGAACAUCAUGGAGGCCGCUUGCCGCAUAAGAGGCUGGAGCGGCAAAUUUGGUGUGGCUGCUCCUCCAUGCAAAGGCUGAGGUCCAACACUGACCGCAGGCAAGCCCCAUGGCAUUCACCGCUUGUCUACGUGUUGCUGGAGGAUGGCUCACAACAUGCGAAUCAUUUAGCUUAGAUUUUAAAUAAGGAGUCAUCCAUGGAGUCAUCAAAGAAGGGACCGAGACGUACACGGCCGCGGAUCAAGAACCGACCUGGCGAGAUGCCGUCUGCGGCACCUUAGGAGGAAAUGAGAAGCAUGGGGAACUCGAAGGGGGAAAAGGUUGAUUUUGCUACAGUUCUCUUGCCCGAUCCUCAUAGAAGAUAGACAGUCCACACUGAAAAGGUGAAUGAUCCCCUCCUUGCCCUAUGAAAUUGUCCAAGCAACACUUUAUCCCUGCAUGGUGGUUGGCUUAGACGUAUGCCGUGUCAGUCGAAGGGGAUGACCUUAGUCCUGGUGCUGUCCAUGGCACUCCUUCCUUAGUGAGCGCGACCUCAUUUCCAUGGGUGAACCCAGCCAUAAUGCCUCUCUUGGCUUAUUCACAUCACUGAAGUUCCACAUACUCUACUUUGUUCCCCUUUAGUCUCAUUUAAUCUUUCAUGUGUAUUUUGGUGCAUGGUGGACACAAAGCAGGAGAAACAAAUAUCAUGUGCUCUAUUCCAUUCAUAAUAAACC